rnacentral:lncRNA from 1 species
AUAUUGUAUAUAGAAGUAACAAUUUACUGGUGCAGGUUCCAUUCUUUUCAACAUAGAAUAAGAAUAUGAGAAUAUAUGUAUUAUUCCAAUCAAGGGCCCUUGAUGGGCAGCAUAACAUGUGCACAUAACACAAUACAUCAUGAUUUGUAACAGAAAAACAUUGUUAUUAACUAAAAUGAAACAUUGAAAAAAAAAAGAAAAGUUCAGACAGAUGUUAUUAUCUUCAUUCUUUAAAAUCAUAUACAUUUAAUUCCAGGCAGGAUCAGAACCAUAAAAUCAUUACAAUUAUCAUUGUUAUUACAUAUACAUAUGAAUUUUUAAAUAGUCUGUCAGAUAUAGUUUACAAUGAUGCAAGUAGAAUGUAUGGUGUGAAAUAUAUUUUUCUAAUAUGGAAUAAUUGUCCAACCAUUUACACAAAUUUAGGUAUAAAAAGUUUUAAAACAUUUUAUGUGUGAAAGGUAUUACUACAUUUUAUUAAUUUAUAUUUGUUUUGUGAUAGAGUAGUUAACGCUCA